rnacentral:rRNA from 1 species
UAGGGAAUCUUCCGCAAUGGGCGAAAGCCUGACGGAGCAACGCCGCGUGAGUGAUGAAGGUCUUCGGAUCGUAAAACUCUGUUAUUAGGGAAGAACAAAUGUGUAAGUAACUAUGCACGUCUUGACGGUACCUAAUCAGAAAGCCACGGCUAACUACGGGCCAGCAGCCGCGGUAAUACGUAGGUGGCAAGCGUUAUCCGGAAUUAUUGGGCGUAAAGCGCGCGUAGGCGGUUUUUUAAGUCUGAUGUGAAAGCCCACGGCUCAACCGUGGAGGGUGAUUGGGAAAUGGAAAACUUGAGUGCAGAAGAGGGAAGUGGAAUUCCAUGUGUAGCGGUGAGAUGCGCAGAGAUAUGGAGGAACACCAGGGGCGAAGGCGACUUUCUGGUCUGUAACUGACGCUGAUGUGCGAAAGCGUGGGGAUCAAACAGG